UACGGAGGGAGCAAGCGUUACUCGGAAUUAUUGGGCGUAAAGGGCGCGUAGGCGAUUGUGCAAGUCUCCUGUGAAAGCCCUCGGCUUAACCGAGGAAGUGCAGAAGAUACUGCUCAAUUUGAGUUCCGAAGAGGAAGACAGAAUUCCCGAUGUAGCGGUGAAAUGCGUAGAGAUCAAGAGGAAUACCAGUGGCGAAGGCGGCCUUCUGGACGGAUACUGACGCUGAGACACGAAAGCCAGAGGAGCAAACAAA
rnacentral:rRNA from 1 species